rnacentral:piRNA from 1 species
AGCCAUAAAUACAACGCAGGGGGGCC